rnacentral:rRNA from 1 species
UACGUAGGGGGCGAGCGUUAUCCGGAGUUACUGGGCGUAAAGCGCACGCAGGCGGUCGUGUAAGUUUGGUGUGACAGCUCCCGGCUCAACUGGGAGAGGACCUUGAAGACUGCAGGACUUGAGGGCCAGAGAGGGACACGGAACUCCGGGUGUAGUGGUGAAAUGCGUAGAUAUCCGGAAGAACACCAAAGGCGAAGGCAGUGUCCUGGCUGGUAACUGACGCUCAGGUGCGAAAGCUAGGGGAGCGAACGGG